UACGUAGGGGGCAAGCGUUGUCCGGAUUUAUUGGGCGUAAAGAGCGUGUAGGCGGUUUGGUAGGUCCGUUGUGAAAACUCGAGGCUCAACCUCGAGACGCCGAUGGAAACCAUCUAACUAGAGUCCGGAAGAGGAGAGUGGAAUUCCUGGUGUAGCGGUGAAAUGCGCAGAUAUCAGGAAGAACACCCGUGGCGAAGGCGGCUCUCUGGAAAGCAACUGACGCUGAGACGCGAAAGCAUGGGGAGCGAACCGG
rnacentral:rRNA from 1 species